rnacentral:rRNA from 1 species
AGCUCUUCAAGUUGUCGGGACAAUUAUUGAGCUUAAAGUGUCCGUAGCCGGUUUGGUAAGUCCCUGGUUAAAUCUGGUAGCUUAACUAUCAGUAGGCUAGGGAAACUACCUAGCUAGAGGGCGGGAAAGGUCUGAGGUACUCCAGGGGUAGCGGUGAAAUGCGAUAAUCCUUGGGGGACCACCAGUGGCGAAAGCGUCAGACUGGAACGCGCCUGACGGUGAGGGACGAAAGCCAGGGGAGCGAACGG